rnacentral:tRNA from 1 species
UCCCUGGUGGCUUAGUGGUAAAGAAUCUGCCUGCCAAUGCAGGAGACAUGGGUUCGAUUCCUGGUCUGGGAA